UUAAAAUUUUAAACCUGAAUUAGUUAACAAAACGUGCCAUUGGAACACAGGCAUGAUAGUUGCUGAUAAUGGGGCUCUGUACGCCUAUGUAGAUAUUCCAUUAAACUUUUGAACAGUAGUGUAUAGCAUCUUGACUAGAGCCUGCUCCCUAUAACAUCGUGACUGGAGCCUGCUGCCUGUAGCAUCGUGACUAGAGCCUGCUAGCUAUAGCAUCGUGACUAGAGCCUGCUACCUAUAACAACAUUGUGACUAGAGCCUGCUAGCUAUAGCAUCUUGACUUGAGCCUGCUAGCUAUAGCAUCUUGACUUGAGCCUGCUAGCAAUAGCAUCUUGACUAGAGCCUGCUAGCAAUAGCAUCUUGACUAGAGCCUGCUAGCUAUAGCAUCUUGACUAGAGCCUGCUAGCUAUAGCAUCUUGACUAGAGCCUGCUAGCUAUAGCAUCUUGACUAGAGCCUGCUAGCUAUAGCAUCUUGACUAGAGCCUGCUAGCUAUAGCAUCUUGACUAGAGCCUGCUAGCUAUAGCAUCUUGACUAGAGCCUGCUAGCUAUAGCAUCUUGACUAGAGCCUGCUAGCUAUAGCAUCUUGACUAGAGCCUGCUAGCUAUAGCAUCUUGACUAGAGCCUGCUACCUGUCAGAAUGAUAAAUCAUCUAGUUAGUUCAUUGUUACAUCAACACCAGUUCUGUUUCACAUUCUAACUGACAUUUUCCUCACAUUAUCAGUGUCUUGGUACACACAUUCAUUACUGUGACAUGGUACACACGUUCAUUACUGUGACAAAGUAACCUAUUUGUCUGUUGGUGUUGCCUCAACCCCUUGUCAUUUCCUGUAAUAAAGUGGACUGUGGGCGGGAGGAGAUUUUCCUCUGUUUCCCUAGCGUUGAGAGUUUAGCCUUAACUCUCCCAGCCCGAUGCUGUUGGUUAACUAGCGUUGAGAGUUUAGCCUUAACUCUCCCAGCCUGAUGCUGUUGGUUAACUAGCGUUAGGAGGGUCGUAAAGCAGACAGAUGGAAGCAUAGGACCGUGUGGCGGUUAUCAAACACUGGUUACAGCAGGACGUUUAGAGCAGAGAGAAGUGUGUGUACACCAAACUGGAGAGGUGUGUGUGUGUGUGUGUGUGUGUGUGUUCCUCUUUCUCCACCUGCAGAUCAGGUUAGAUCAGUUUUGUGAAAUUCGGAUGCAAAUUCUCUGCUUCUAUUUGCCUAUGAUUUGUCCAUAUUUCUCUGCAAUGAAAAUCCUUCUGCAAGUGUGUGUCAGUCAGGUACUGCAAUCAUGUCAGAGCUAACAGGCUACAGAGUGUCUGAUAAUAACAGCUAACCACUUCCUUCCUUCCCCACUUAAAAAGAGAGGUAGAAACUGUUCAUAGCUGCAGUAGUCGAGUGCACCAGUAGUCGAGUGCACCAGUAGUCGAGUGCACCAGUAGUCGAGUGCACCAGUAGUCGAGUGCACCUGGCCUGACUGCAUCAACAUGUCCGUUGCAUUCCAAAUGGCACCCUGUUCCCUACAUUGGGCCCUGUAGGCCCGGGUCCAAGAUAGGGUGCCAUUUGGGAUGCGGUUCUCACUCACCUCUAGGGCCCUCACUAGGACAGUCCAGCUGUCUCACUAUUGAACUGGACCGUUUUAGUGUUCAUUAGGGCACACCGUAGCAAAAUGUUUUGCAAUAGAAAAUUAACCUUUGUGUUGUUAUUGGAGACGUUCAGGUAGAAUCUCUCCAUUUUAAUUUGUUGUUGUUGAACCACACCGACGCAUCAGUUCUGCUGUGUUAAACCAGACGCUAACUGUGUUGUGGUCUGUAACAUGUUGAUGAUGCUUUGUGUCUGGACAUACAGACAGAGAAUAUCUGUUAAAAUGACUAUUUAAAUACACAAAGUGUUAAUGAAAGAUGUGUAUAAACGGGAUUGCAACUUUCACUGGGAACAGGGGGGACAUGUCCCCCCCCCACAUUCGGAAAUUGUAUUUUUGUCGUCCGCCCCCCAGUUUUAUCAUUGGAACGUGAUACUAAACGAGGCAACGGUGUGCUUUAGGACCAUGCGGAUGCCUCUGAGGUUGGGUAGGCUGUUUGGAGUGUUUAUCUGACUGGAUACAUUUUGUUUUUGAUAUUUCCUCCCCAACUUCUAAAACCAAAGAUUCGCCCCUGUGUAUAAAUAUGUGUGUUUGGCUUCAGAAAGAAAAGCAUUAUUGAAGAAGACGACUUCUUCACAGGUAUCUUAUCUGUACAGGGAUGCAUUAAGGUGGCUGACUGUUCCUUUUUUACCCUGUGUGAGAUUGGUCAUUUUUCUAGUGUGGGCAACAGUGAGUGAAUAUGCCAGUGAACAGACCUUAUUCCAGGUAUCUUAAUAGUGACGCCUAUAUUAAUUCUCAGUCAUAACUCAGUCUACGUCCCAAAUCGCAACAUAUUUCCUAUACAGUGACCUACUUUUUUACCAUAAUCCAUAGGGAAUAACCCGGGUCCAUUCAUCCCAAAUGGCACCCUAUUCCCUAUAUAGUGACCUACUUUUUACCAUAAUCCAUAGGGAAUAACCCGGGUCCAUUCAUCCCAAAUGGCACCCUAUUCCCUAUAUAGUGCACUAGGGACCAGAAGUACUGUAAAGGGAAUAGGGUGCCAUUUUGGAUGAAUCCUAAGACUGACCAAUGAGCAUCAAGUAAUGUAAUCACAAAUAACUUUGGUUAUGGAGCUCAGAGUUAUGAGAGCCUGCCAGACUUCUGGUCCUUCCUCCUUGAUUGGUUAAUCAAUGUAGAUAUCCAGGUAAAGGUCAAAUAUUCUGGCUCUGCUUCUUUGUUGAUUUGAAUCAUUGUACUUUUUCUAUCUGUUAUUAAAGGCUCUCUCUCUGAUUUCAGUCGAGCCAUAAAUAGUGUAAUUGUUUCAACAUUUUAUCUCCUAGAAAAGAAAAUGCUAACAGAAUUUAUUUGUUACAGUAUAGUCAUAGUAGCCUGGUUGACGAGACUAUAUUCACAGUUCUCUCUCCUUUAGCACUAACAGUCAAGUAUUCACAAUUACCCACGUUUAAAACCAUGAGGCUGCAAUGAAAGCAACAUGGAGGAUUCUGUUAUUUCCUACGUAUAUUCCUAUAUAUCAAUUACCCACAUUUAAAACCAUGAGGCUGCAAUGAAAGCAACAUGGAGGAUUCUGUUGCUAUUUCCUACGUAUAUUCCUAUAUAUCAAUUACCCACGUUUCCUAUAUUUGUGUUGAAGCUGUAUAUUAUCUCUUGCUAUUCUUUGUCUUUGUAUGAAUAAUGUAUGUUUACACGCUCUCCUUACUCUCCCAAAUAACUGCUCUGUUUUGUAAUAAAAUACAAGCUGACCAUCCUUA